rnacentral:rRNA from 1 species
CACCACAACGGGUGGAGCCUGCGGUUUAAUUGGACUCAACGCCGGGCAGCUCACCGGAUAAGACAGCUGGAUGAUAGCCGGGCUGAAGACUCUGCUUGACUAGCUGAGAGGAGGUGCAUGGCCGUCGUCAGUUCGUACUGUGAAGCAUCCUGUUAAGUCAGGCAACGAGCGAGACCCACGCCAACAGUUGCCAGCAUGUCCUCCGGGAUGAUGGGGACACUGUUGGGACCGCCUCUGCUAAAGAGGAGGAAGGAAUGGGCAACGGUAGGUCAGCAUGCCCCGAAUUAUCCGGGCUACACGCGGGCUACAAUGGUCAGGACAAUGGGUAUCGACACCGAGAGGUGGAGGCAAUCUCCUAAACCUGUCCUUAGUUCGGAUUGUGGGCUGCAACUCGCCCACAUGAAGCUGGAAUCCGUAGUAAUCGCGUUUCAACAGAACGCGGUGAAUACGUCCCUGCUCCUU